rnacentral:rRNA from 1 species
UGGUUAAGCUACUAAGAGCACACGGAGGAUGCCUAGGCGCUAGGAGCCGAUGAAGGACGUGGCGAA